UGUCCCUGGAGGGUCUCUGAAAGUCCAGGUCAGCCCCUGGGCUGGGUCCCCACAGUAAGAAGAGAACUGUGAUGGGCAACACCCCAGAAAAGAAGACUUGCAGCCUCACUUCAGGUCAAUUUGCAAGAACUGACAUCACACAGCAGCUUGGUUUCUUCAGACCGUCCAGCUUGCUGCGUCUUGCCCAGUCACGUGGAGCUAAUAAAGAUACGCUGUUCCACACCUCUGUGCCUCUCCACAUGUGGUUCCUUUUGCCUGGAGUGCCAACCCUUUCUGCCUGCUGUCCACCUAUCAAACUUCCACUCAUCCUUUACAAACGAGCAUAAGCAUCAGCGCUUUGGGGGUGUGAGAAAAU
rnacentral:lncRNA from 10 species